rnacentral:rRNA from 1 species
GACGAACGCUGGCGGCGUGCCUAAUACAUGCAAGUCGAGCGCUGAAGCUUGGUACUUGUUCCUAUUGGAUGAGCAGCGAACGGGUGAGUAACGCGUGGGGAACCUGCCUAUGAGCGGGGGACAACAUCUGGAAACGAAUGCUAAUACCGCAUAAAAACUUUAAACACAAGGUUUAAGUUUGAAAGAUGCAAUUGCAUCACCCAAAGAUGAUCUCGCGGUGUAUUAGCUAGUUGGUGAGGUAAAGGCCCACCAAGGCGAAGGAUCAUAGCCGGCCUGAGAGGGGGGUCGGCCACAUUGGGAAUUAGACACGGGCCAAACUUCUACGGGGAGGAGCCGGAGGGGAUCUUCGGCAAUGGGCGGAAGGCUGAACGGGCAACGCCGGGUGGGUGGAGAAGGGUCUCCGGUCGGAAAAAUCUGUUGGUUGGGAAGGACGUUAGUGGGAGUGGAAUGCUCAUCAAGUGACGGUAACUACUCAGAAAGCGACGGCUAACUACGUG